rnacentral:lncRNA from 1 species
UGCCACGAGGGCCCUCGUUAGCUGUCUCUUUGAAGAGCCCAGUGCCCUUGUUCUCCUUCAGGACGCGGAGGGAAAAGAGGGUCCCUAAUGCCAUCUGGACCGUCGUGGAGAGUCACUCUCAUGUGCCUUCCAUCCAGGCAGUGCCUCCAGGGCCAGGCCUUCACGACCCCGAACCACCUGUAUCCACCCUAUUCAGUGUCUUCAUCUUCCAAGGUCCCAGAUUUCUGAAGCCCUAGGGCUGCCUGUCUUGGUGGCCACCACAUGGGCACUCUAGCUCCCAUCGCCUUGCCAGGAAGGGAGCCACCUGCCAUUCCUCCUUCAUCUCACAGCUUGGAAGGUGAACCAUGCACCAGGGAAAUGGAAUCUGCAGAGAUGCAUUUCCUGCACCUUAGGCCAUCCCUGCAUCCCUUCAAUCUCAGGAUUCUCCAUCAUCUCCUGCUGGGUGCUCUGAGGACACAGCCUGUGCAGAAACAGAACCAGGCAACACUACCCAGGAGCAUUUGGUGGGUGCUGGGGAAGUACUUCCCCACGAUGCUAAUGAUGGCAACUUGGCGCUGAGAAGCUCGUUAGCAAAAGCAUUGAAGACGCCUGCCAUAGCUUUCAAAUGCUGACAAUCCGUAAAUUGAAAUUAACAACGAAUAAAAAGAUAAGGAAAGCGCA